rnacentral:rRNA from 1 species
UCAAGCGCGAAAAGGGCGAUUGGUGGAUGCCUUGGCAGUAAGAGGCGAUGAAGGACGUGAUACCCUGCGUUAAGCCAUGGGGAGCCGGGAAUAGGCUUUGAUCCAUGGAUGUCCGAAUGGGGGAACCCACCUGAAAUUCUGUUGUUGUUAUCUACUGGCUGUUUACAGUCAGUGGGUGAUCAUCAACGGGGUUAGACAGGUACUUAUCUCUGAAUAAAAUAGGGGAAUAAGAGCAAACCCGGGGAACUGAAACAUCUAAGUACCCGGAGGAAAGGAAAUCAAGAGAGACUCCGUUAGUAGUGGCGAGCGAACGCGGACCAGCCGAGCCUGGAAGAGUGACUGGAAUGGUCUGGAAAGGCCAGCAAUAUAGGGUGACAGCCCCGUACAGGAAGCUCCAUGGGACAUAUUAAGUAAGGCGGGACACGUGAAAUCCUGUCUGAAGAUCGGGGGACCACCCCCGAAGGCUAAGUACUCCUUACUGACCGAUAGCGAACCAGUACCGUGAGGGAAAGGUGAAAAGCACCCCGACGAGGGGAGUGAAACAGUACCUGAAACCGGUCGCCUACAAGCAGUCGGAGGGACCAUGAGUCCUGACGGCGUACCUUUUGUAUAAUGGGUCAACGACUUGGUCUUACUAGCAAGCUUAAGCCGAUAGGUGUAGGCGCAGCGAAAGCGAGUCUUAAAUGGGCGAAUGAGUUAGUGGGAUCAGACCCGAAACCAGGUGAUCUAGCCAUGAGCAGGAUGAAGGUAAGGUAACACUUACUGGAGGUCCGAACCAACACCCGUUGAAAAGGGUCUGGAUGACUUGUGGCUAGGGGUGAAAGGCCAAUCAAACCUGGAGAUAGCUGGUUCUCCGCGAAAGCUAUUUAGGUAGCGCCUCGGACGAAUACCUUGGGGGGUAGAGCACUACAUGGAUGAUGGGGGCCCACAGCCUUACUGAGUCUAAGUAAACUCCGAAUACCCAAGAGUACUAUCCGGGAGACACACGGCGGGUGCUAACGUCCGUCGUGAAGAGGGAAACAACCCUGACCUGCAGCUAAGGCCCCUAAUUCGUGGUUAAGUGGGAAAGCAUGUGGGACGGCCAAAACAACCAGGAGGUUGGCUUAGAAGCAGCCAUCCUUUAAAGAUAGCGUAACAGCUCACUGGUCUAGAUAAGCUGUCCUGCGGCGACAAUGUAACGGGGCUCAAACCACGAGCCGAAGCUCAGGAUGUGUAGCAAUACACGUGGUAGCGGAGCGUUCUGUGAUAUAGGACGAUGUGUCUUUAGCAUCUUAGGAUGUUACGGACACAAUGUGCUUUCUGUGAAGCCGGGCUGUAAGGCAUCCGGUGGAGAGAUCAGAAGCGAGAAUGUUGACAUGAGUAGCGACAAACAGGGUGAGAGACCCUGUCGCCGAAAGUCCAAGGGUUCCUGCUUAAAGCUAAUCUGAGCAGGGUAAGCCGGCCCCUAAGGCGAGGCCGAAAGGCGUAGUCGAUGGGAACCACGUUAAUAUUCGUGGGCCAGAAGGAAGUGACGGAUCUCGAGGAUUGUCUGCCCUUAUCGGAUUGGGUGGGCCGUUUAGAGGUUCCUGGAAAUAGCCCUUCAUGAGACCGUACCCUAAACCGACACAGGUGGACUGGUAGAGUAUACCAAGGCGCUUGAGAGAACUACAUCAAAGGAACUCGGCAAAAUGCCUCCGUAAGUUCGCGAGAAGGAGGCCCCACUUUUACGCAAGUAGAGGUGGGGGGCACAAACUAGGGGGUGGCGACUGUUUACUUAAAACACAGGGCUCUGCGAAGUCGUAAGACGACGUAUAGGGUCUGACGCCUGCCCGGUGCUGGAAGGUUAAAAGGAGGGGUGCAAGCUCUGAAUUGAAGCCCCAGUAAACGGCGGCCGUAACUAUAACGGUCCUAAGGUAGCGAAAUUCCUUGUCGGGUAAGUUCCGACCUGCACGAAUGGUGUAACGAUCUGGGCACUGUCUCAGCCAUGAGCUCGGUGAAAUUGUAGUAUCGGUGAAGAUGCCGAUUACCCGCAACGGGACGAAAAGACCCCGUGAACCUUUACUAUAGCUUCACAUUGAUAUUGGGUAAUUCAUGUGUAGGAUAGGUGGGAGACGUUGAGGCUGCAUCGCUAGGUGUAGAUCAGUCGUCCUUGAAAUACCACCCUUGAAUUAUCUGAUGUCUAACCCCUCCGGGGGGACAUUGUGUGGUGGGUAGUUUGACUGGGGUGGUCGCCUCCAAAAGAGUAACGGAGGCUCCUAAAGGUACCCUCAGCACGCUUGGUAACCGUGCGUAGAGUGUAAUGGCAUAAGGGUGCUUGACUGAGAGACCGACAAGUCGAUCAGGUAGGAAACUAGAGCAUAGUGAUCCGGUGGUUCCGCAUGGAAGGGCCAUCGCUCAAAGGAUAAAAGGUACUCCGGGGAUAACAGGCUGAUCACUCCCAAGAGCUCACAUCGACGGAGUGGUUUGGCACCUCGAUGUCGGCUCGUCACAUCCUGGGGCUGGAGAAGGUCCCAAGGGUUGGGCUGUUCGCCCAUUAAAGUGGCACGCGAGCUGGGUUCAGAACGUCGUGAGACAGUUCGGUCUCUAUCUGUUGUGGGCGUUAGAAAUUUGAGAGGACCUGCCUCUAGUACGAGAGGACCGGGGUGGACAUACCUCUGGUGUACCUGUUGUGGCGCCAGCUGCAUCGCAGGGUAGCUAUGUAUGGAUGAGAUAAGCGCUGAAAGCAUCUAAGCACGAAACUCGCCUCAAGAUGAGAUUUCUUUUAAGGGCCGUGGAAGACGACCACGUUGAUAGGCUAUAGGUGUAAAGACAGUAAUGUCAUAGCCGAGUAGUACUAAUAACCCGUAAGCUUAUGUAC